rnacentral:rRNA from 1 species
GACGAACGCUGGCGGCGUGCUUAACACAUGCAAGUCGAACGGAAAGGCCCUGCUUUGGUGGUAUUCUCGAGUGGCGAAGGGGUGAGUAACGCGUGUGUAACCUGCCCUUGAUUUUGGUAUAAUUUCAGGAAACUGGGGCUUAUACCGUAGAGGAGCUCCUGCUGCAGGGGGGGGGGGGGAAAUUUUGGGCGGUUGGGGAUGGACGCGCGGCUUAUCAGUGUGUGGGUGGGGUUGUGGUUUACCAAGGUUUUGGGGGGUAGCCGGCCUGAGAGGGUGACCGGCAAAAUUGGGACUGAGUUCGGCCCCAGCCUCCUCGGGGAGGAAGAGGUGGGAAAUUUUGACCAAUGGGCGGAACCCUGAUGCAGAAACGCCGCGUGCGGGAUGCCGGCCUUCGGGUUGUAAACCGCUUUCCCCUGUGCCGAAGCGUGAGUGACGGUAAUGGGUAAAGAAGCACCGGCUAACUACGUG